AGAUUGAACGCUGGCGGCAUGCCUAACACAUGCAAGUCGAGCGGCAGCGCGGGGGGCAACCCUGGCGGCGAGCGGCGGACGGGUGAGUAAGGCAUCGGAAUCUGCCCUGAUGUGGGGGAUAACGUAGGGAAACUCACGCUAAUACCGCAUACGACCGAGAGGUGAAAGCGGGGGACCGAAAGGCCUCGCGCUAAGAGAGAAGCCUACGUCCGAUUAGCUAGUUGGCGGGGUAAAGGCCCACCAAGGCGACGAUCGGUAGCUGGUCUGAGAGGACGACCAGCCACACUGGGACUGAGACACGGCCCAGACUCCUACGGGAGGCAGC
rnacentral:rRNA from 1 species